GAUGAACGCUGGCGGCGUGCCUAAUACAUGCAAGUCGAGCGAACAGACGAGGAGCUUGCUCCUCUGACGUUAGCGGCGGACGGGUGAGUAACACGUGGAUAACCUACCUAUAAGACUGGGAUAACUUCGGGAAACCGGAGCUAAUACCGGAUAAUAUAUUGAACCGCAUGGUUCAAUAGUGAAAGACGGUUUUGCUGUCACUUAUAGAUGGAUCCGCGCCGCAUUAGCUAGUUGGUAAGGUAACGGCUUACCAAGGCGACGAUGCGUAGCCGACCUGAGAGGGUGAUCGGCCACACUGGAACUGAGACACGGGCCAGACUCCUACGGGAGGCAGCAGUAGUGAAUCUUCCGCAAUGGGCGAAAGCCUGACGGAGCAACGCCGCGUGAGUGAUGAAGGUCUUCGGAUCGUAAAACUCUGUUAUUAGGGAAGAACAAAUGUGUAAGUAACUAUGCACGUCUUGACGGUACCUAAUCAGAAAGCCACGGCUAACUACGUG
rnacentral:rRNA from 1 species